rnacentral:rRNA from 1 species
UUUUAGAUAAGUUCUGCUCAAUGAAAAUGUUAAAUAGCUGCAGUAAAUUAACUGUACUAAGGUAGCAUAAUAAAUUGCUUUAUAAUUGAAAGCUUGAAUGAAAGAAAGCAUGUGAAACAAACUUUUUAAGAUAAAAUAGUAAAAAUUAAUAUUUAAGUGAAAAAUCUUAAAUAAUAUCAAAAGACAAGAAGACCCUUUAGAAUUUUACAACCUUAAUCAACUAAAAUGAUCCUGGUUGUUAAAUUGGGGAGAUUUUUAAAUAAUUAUAUCUUUAGAUAAAUCAAAAUGAUAAAAAUCAAAUUAAAUUAUCCAAAUAUGAAAUAAAAUAAAUUACCUAAGGGAUAACAGCGUAAAAUUUUUGAGAAGACCCCAUUCACAAAAUAAAUUACGACCUCGAUGUUGGAUUAAGAA